CGCCUGUUUAACAAAAACAUGGCCUUUUGAAUUUAAUUUAAGGUCUGACCUGCCCAGUGAUGUAUUUAACGGCCGCGGUAUAUUGACCGUGCAAAGGUAGCAUAAUCAUUAGUCUUUUAAUAGAGGGCUGGAAUGAACGGUUUAACGAGGAACUGACUGUCUCAUUUUAUUUGUUUUAAAAUUUAAUUUUUUAGUUAAAAAGCUAAAAUUUUAUUGGAAGACGAGAAGACCCUAUAGGUCUUUAUAUAAUUUUUAUACCUAUUUAUAAAUAUGAGUAUAUUAAAAUUGUAUUUUGUUGGGGUGACAAAAAUAUAUAAUUAACUUUUUCAUUUAUUUGCCAUUGAUAUAUGAAUAUUAGAUCCAUUAUUAGUGAUUUCUAGAACAAGUUACCUUAGGGAUAACAGCG
rnacentral:rRNA from 1 species